rnacentral:misc_RNA from 1 species
GUCUCCGUUGGUGAACUAGCGGAGGGAUCAUUACUGGAAUCGCAAGAUCCCACAACCCUGUGAACCUACCGAAACGUUGCCUCGGCGGUUGCCCAGCCCCCCCGCCGGGCGCUGCGCCCGUCGGCGGCCCCCUACUCUGUCUCUGCAGCGUGGCAUCUCAGAGUCCCAGAAAACAAGUCAAAACUUUCAACAACGGAUCUCUUGGCUCUG